GUCCAGUUCUACUAAGGCACUGUCAAGAGCAAACAGAAUUAAUCUAAGACUCAGUCUCUGGCAACAAAGGGCUUAUAAUAGGUAUGAAGACCACUCCCUCUUGCCCCAGUGAGUAAGGCAGGCCUAGUAAAUACUCUGUAAAGUCUUUUCUAUUCAAGGGUUCUACCCGAGGUAGAACUAAAUUACAUGCUUUAAUUUAGUACCUUCACUUGUCUUCCUCCUUCCCUAGGCUGCAUGGCCUUCUGGCCAAAAUCCCUUUUGUCAGCACACAAUCCAAGCACCACAUGGGAAAGAAGGAGAGAGAAGGUACUACUUCAUCCAUUCUGUUCUCAGCAUAAAGAAGCUUAGCAGGGGAGGCAUUUGAAACUAAGGACUAAAACAAGGACUAACCUUGGACUUAAACAGAAAGUCACAGAGAAAAGACCUUGAAAGUUACCAAAUCAACCUUUUUAUGGUCAAGGAAAGCCCAGGGGAAGUGACCAUCAUAGGAGCCAGGAUAGGGGAGUUUCAGCUCUGACUUAACUCAAAAAGCAGUCCAUGACCAAUAAAGUCUUAGACAUUUCAAGCUCCAACCUCUCUCUUUUUCUUUUUUCUUCCUUCACGGUCACGUCCUGUCACCGUCCUUUCUUUCUUUCUUUCUUUCUUUCUUUCACCAUUAUUGAUAACUACACCCCAGUGAAUUGAUGUCCAGGUGAUUAUCCUGACAGCAGCAGCAACAAUCAAAGCUUCUGCUACCCUGGAUAUAAUAAAAGAUGUUAUUUUUGACUAAUCACAUGCAGAACAUGCACUCUGUGGUAUUUUCCCAGAAGCAGUAAUAAACUUUCACUGAUCUAUCCACACACUACAUCCCAGUUUUGCCCUCCUCUAUGGGAAGGAGACUAAAUGGAGAAUAGAGCAUGGCUCAUCAGACCCCACAUCUCUAAUACCUGUGCUCAUGGCAUCAAGAAAAUGUCCAACGUGCUAUCAGAUUGUUCACAAGGAAAUGUAAAGGCCUGGGGCUGGCCAAGAAAUCACUCUUGAGCUUGAUGCAGUGAACAGCUUGAUUUCUCCUUUGUCAGAGACAAAGAGAAUAAUCCCUUAGCACACUGGUGCUACUGAUCACC
rnacentral:lncRNA from 1 species